rnacentral:piRNA from 1 species
UCCAAGGGCCCUUCCCAUCACACAGUGC